AGAGUUUGAUCCUGGCUCAGAAUGAACGCUGGCGGCGUGCCUAACACAUGCAAGUCGAGCGUGAAAGUCCUUCGGGACUAGUAAAGCGGCGGACGGGUGAGUAACGCGUGAGAACCUGCCCUACAGUGAAGAAUACCUUCGAGAAAUCGAAGUUAAUACUGCAUACGUCCCUACGGGGAGAAAGGUGGCUUCAUGCUAUCGCUGAAGGAUGGGCUUGCGUACUAUUAGCUAGUUGGUAGGGUAAAGGCCUACCAAGGCGAUGAUGGUUAACCGGCCUGAGAGGGUGUACGGUCACAUUGGAACUGAGACACGGUCCAGACUCCUACGGGAGGCAGCAGUGAGGAAUAUUGCACAAUGGGCGAAAGCCUGAUGCAGCGACGCCGCGUGGAGGAUGAAGGUCUUCGGAUUGUAAACUUCUGUUAAGUGAGACGAAAGCAAUACCUUUAAUACAGGUAUACAUGACGGUACCACUAAAGAAGGCACCGGCUAACUUCGUGCCAGCAGCCGCGGUAAUACGAAGGGUGCAAGCGUUAUUCGGAUUGACUGGGCGUAAAGUGUGUGUAGACGGUGUGUUAAGUCUGUUGUUAAAUUCCCCGGCUCAACUGGGGCUUCGCAAUGGAAACUGGCACGCUAGAGGGUGGAAGAGAGAAGUGGAAUUCUCGGAGUAGCGGUAAAAUGCGUAGAUCUCGAGAGGAACACCAAUGGCGAAGGCAGCUUCUUGGUCCAUUUCUGACGUUGAGACACGAAAGCGUGGGGAGCAAACAGGAUUAGAUACCCUGGUAGUCCACGCCGUAAACGAUAAUCACUAGACGUCAGUCCGGCUCUGCUGGAUUGGUGUCGAAGCUAACGCGUUAAGUGAUUCGCCUGGGGAGUACGGUCGCAAGAUUAAAACUCAAAUGGAAUUGACGGGGGUCCGCACAAGCGGUGGAACAUGUGGUUUAAUUCGACACUACGCGAGGAACCUUACCUAGGCUUGACAUGUACUUGACAGCCGUAGAAAUACGGUCUUUUGGGCUUCGGUCUAGACAGGUACACAGGUGGUGCAUGGCUGUCAUCAGCUCGUGUCGUGAGAUGUUGGGUUAAGUCCUCUAACGAGCGCAACCCUUACCUUCAGUUGCUAUUUGCGUAAGCAAAGCACUCUGUAGGGACUGCCUGGGAAACCAGGAGGAAGGCGGGGACGACGUCAAGUCAUCAUGCUCCUUAUGUCUAGGGCUACACACGUGUUACAAUGGUCGGUACAGAGGGCUGCAAGACCGCAAGGUGGAGCUAAUCCCUAAAGCCGAUCUAAGUUCGGAUUGAGGUCUGCAACUCGACCUCAUGAAGUUGAAAUCGCUAGUAAUCGCGUAUCAGAAACGACGCGGUGAAUACGUUCACGGGCCUUGUACACACCGCCCGUCACACCACGAAAGCUGUCUGUACCCAAAAUCACUUUAGCUAACCUGAAAGGGAUGCGAGUGCUUAAGGUAUGGGGAGUGAUUGGGGUGAAGUCGUAACAAGGUAACC
rnacentral:rRNA from 1 species